rnacentral:rRNA from 1 species
UCGAGAAUCUUCGGCAAUGGGCGAAAGCCUGACCGAGCGACGCCGCGUGGAGGAAGAAGGCCCUUGGGUUGUAAACUCCUGUUGAGGGGAAGGAAAUUUUGACCGAACCCUUGAGGAAGCGCAGGCUAAGUUCGUGCCAGCAGCCGCGGUAAGACGAACUGCGCAAACGUUAUUCGGAAUCAUUGGGCUUAAAGCGCGUGCAGGCGGCAGUAUAAGUUGGAGGUGAAAUCCUAUCGGCUCAACCGUAGAACGGCCUUCAAUACUGUACUGCUCGAGGGAGCAAGGGGCUUGCGGAACUUGUGGUGGAGCGGUGAAAUGUGUUGAUAUCAUGAGGAACGCCAGUGGCGAAAGCGGCAAGCUGGGUCUCUUCUGACGCUCAGACGCGAAAGCCAGGGUAGCGAACGGGAUUAGAUACCCCCGUAGUCC